CGGAGUGGAUGAGACGGUCGCCGCCCGGCACUCAACGCAACACCGCCGGUUGCGCCAACGAUCGACGGCGUUGCGUUGAGUGCCGGGGGGAGGAAAGUCCGGGCUCCACAGGGCAGGGCGCUGGGUAACUCCCAGUCUCGGUGACGAGCAGGACAGUGCCACAGAAAGCAAACCGCCCCGCUUCAGCGGGGUAAGGGUGAAACGGUGAGGUAAGAGCUCACCAGUUCCGGUGGUGACAUCGGAAGCUCGGCAAACCCCGCCCGGAGCAAGGCCAAAUAGGAGAGCGCAUGAGGGCUGCCCGCCCGAGCUCUCGGGUCGGCUGCUGGAGCCCGUCGGUAACGGCGGGCCUAGAGGAAUGACCGUCACCGGUCCUCUCGGGGAUCGGCACGGAACCCGGCUUACGGUCCGCUCCGGGGC
rnacentral:RNase_P_RNA from 2 species